rnacentral:rRNA from 1 species
UACGAAGGGGCUAGCGUUGCUCGGAAUCACUGGGCGUAAAGCGCACGUAGGCGGAUUGUUAAGUCAGGGGUGAAAUCCUGGAGCUCAACUCCAGAACUGCCUUGAUACUGGACGAUCUUGAGUCCGGGAGAGGUGAGUGGAACUGCGAGUGUAGAGGUGAAAUUCGUAGAUAUUCGCAAGAACACCAGUGGCGAAGGCGGCUCACUGGCCCGGUACUGACGCUGAGGUGCGAAAGCUGAGG